rnacentral:rRNA from 1 species
CUUCGGGGGUACUCGAGCGGCGAACGGGUGAGUAACACGUGAGCAACCUGCCCCUGACUCUGGGAUAAGCCCGGGAAACUGGGUCUAAUACCGGAUAUGACCACUCCAGGCAUCUGGUGGUGGUGGAAAGUUUUUCGGUUGGGGAUGGGCUCGCGGCCUAUCAGCUUGUUGGUGGGGUGAUGGCCUACCAAGGCGACGACGGGUAACCGGCCUGAGAGGGCGACCGGUCACACUGGGACUGAGACACGGCCCAGACUCCUACGGGAGGCAGCAGUGGGGAAUAUUGCGCAAUGGGCGGAAGCCUGACGCAGCGACGCCGCGUGGGGGAUGACGGCCUUCGGGUUGUAAACCCCUUUCAGCAGGGACGAAGCUAACGUGACGGUACCUGCAGAAGAAGCGCCGGCUAACUACGUGCCAGCAGCCGCGGUAAUACGUAGGGCGCAAGCGUUGUCCGGAAUUAUUGGGCGUAAAGAGCUCGUAGGCGGUUUGUCGCGUCUGUCGUGAAAGCCCACGGCUUAACCGUGGGUCUGCGGUGGAUACGGGCAGACUAGAGGCAGGUAGGGGAGAAUGGAAUUCCCGGUGUAGCGGUGAAAUGCGCAGAUAUCGGGAGGAACACCGGUGGCGAAGGCGGUUCUCUGGGCCUGUACUGACGCUGAGGAGCGAAAGCGUGGGGAGCGAACAGGAUUAGAUACCCUGGUAGUCCACGCCGUAAACGUUGGGCGCUAG